rnacentral:rRNA from 2 species
UAGGGAAUCUUCGGCAAUGGACGAAAGUCUGACCGAGCAACGCCGCGUGAGUGAAGAAGGUUUUCGGAUCGUAAAACUCUGUUGUUAGAGAAGAACAAGGACGUUAGUAACUGAACGUCCCCUGACGGUAUCUAACCAGAAAGCCACGGCUAACUACGUGCCAGCAGCCGCGGUAAUACGUAGGUGGCAAGCGUUGUCCGGAUUUAGUGGGCGUAAAGCGAGCGCAGGCGGUUUCUUAAGUCUGAUGUGAAAGCCCCCGGCUCAACCGGGGAGGGUCAUUGGAAACUGGGAGACUUGAGUGCAGAAGAGGAGAGUGGAAUUCCAUGUGUAGCGGUGAAAUGCGUAGAUAUAUGGAGGAACACCAGUGGCGAAGGCGGCUCUCUGGUCUGUAACUGACGCUGAGGCUCGAAAGCGUGGGGAGCAAACAGG